UAUCACCAAGGAUUGUCUUUCUCGCAACAUUUUUCCUGUGAGAAGAAGAAGAAGGGAAUCAAACUUGAACAACCUCGUUCAGGUGCGAAUCAAAUUAUAAAAGGAAGUG
rnacentral:ncRNA from 1 species